rnacentral:rRNA from 1 species
CACGAACGCUGGCGGCAGGCUUAACACAUGCAAGUCGAGCGCCCCGCAAGGGGAGCGGCAGACGGGUGAGUAACGCGUGGGAAUCUACCCAUCUCUACGGAAUAACGCAUGGAAACGUGUGCUAAUAUCGUAUACGUCCUUCGGGAGAAAGAUUUAUCGGAGAUGGAUGAGCCCGCGUUGGAUUAGCUAGUUGGUGGGGUAAGGCCUACCAAGGCGACGAUCCAUAGCUGGUCUGAGAGGAUGAUCAGCCACACUGGGACUGAGACACGGCCCAGACUCCUACGGGAGGCAGCAGUGGGGAAUAUUGGACAAUGGGCGCAAGCCUGAUCCAGCCAUGCCGCGUGAGUGAUGAAGGCCCUAGGGUUGUAAAGCUCUUUCACCGGUGAAGAUAAUGACGGUAACCGGAGAAGAAGCCCCGGCUAACUUCGUGCCAGCCGCCGCAGUAACAC